rnacentral:rRNA from 1 species
AGUAAAAGUCGUAACAAGGUCUCCGUUGGUGAACCAGCGGAGGGAUCAUUACCGAGUUUACAACUCCCAAACCCAAUGUGAACCAUACCAAACUGUUGCCUCGGCGGGGUCACGCCCCGGGUGCGUCGCAGCCCCGGAACCAGGCGCCCGCCGGAGGGACCAACCAAACUCUUUUCUGUAGUCCCCUCGCGGACGUUAUUUCUUACAGCUCUGAGCAAAAAUUCAAAAUGAAUCAAAACUUUCAACAACGGAUCUCUUGGUUCUGGCAUCGAUGAAGAACGCAGCGAAAUGCGAUAAGUAAUGUGAAUUGCAGAAUUCAGUGAAUCAUCGAAUCUUUGAACGCACAUUGCGCCCGCCAGUAUUCUGGCGGGCAUGCCUGUCCGAGCGUCAUUUCAACCCUCGAACCCCUCCGGGGGGUCGGCGUUGGGGACCUCGGGAGCCCCUAAGACGGGAUCCCGGCCCCGAAAUACAGUGGCGGUCUCGCCGCAGCCUCUCCUGCGCAGUAGUUUGCACAACUCGCACCGGGAGCGCGGCGCGUCCACGUCCGUAAAACACCCAACUUCUGAAAUGUUGACCUCGGAUCAGGUAGGAAUACCCGCUGAACUUAAGCAUAUCAAUAAGCGGAGGA